GCGCCCUUAGCUCAGUUGGAUAGAGCGUCUGGCUACGAACCAGGAGGCCGCAGUUUCGAGUCCUGCUGGGCGCGCCA
rnacentral:tRNA from 1 species